GGGCGAUUAGCUCAGCGGGAGAGCACCUCGUUCACACCGAGGGGGUCACUGGUUCGAUCCCAGUAUCGCCCA
rnacentral:tRNA from 1 species